rnacentral:lncRNA from 1 species
AGGGUCAGGCAGUGAAAAAUAGAAUCCAAGUGCAGAAGAGACAGGCAUGUGACUUGGAGUGUGUGAUUGCCAUUAAACAGUACUGUUUCAUCAAAGGUUAUACCAGGACAAAGAGUACAACCAAAGCUGCAUUUUUUGGCAGUGGUUUAAAAAACAUUGUGUAUUCUCAUGAAAGCUAUAUCAGAAAUAAUGAUAAAAAUACUUGUCUGGAACCCCAAACACUUAUUAAAUCAGCAGUCACUGAAAUGAAACAACCCAAGACAGGUGCACCUGGAUAGACCCUGAGAGACCAUGAAGCCCUGCAUUAAGGCACUGCACAGUUCAGUUGAACAAGCACAGCAGAGAAGAGGAGGAGAAUGGGCAACUAACAUCAAAUCAAGAAGAAUGGAAGUUUUCAAAGUGAAGGCAAUGUUGCAUCACAGGGGAACAAAUGAUGGCAUGAGCUUGGAUUAAACAUAAGCAACAAUAAUAAAAUUCUUGUCCAAAAGUCA